rnacentral:misc_RNA from 1 species
GAUGAAGAACGCAGCGAAAUGCGAUAAGUAAUGUGAAUUGCAGAAUUCAGUGAUUCAUCGAAUCUUUGAACGCACAUUGCGCCCGUCAGUAUUCUGGCGGGCAUGCCUGUUCGAGCGUCAUUACGCCCCUCAAGUCCCCUGUGGACUUGGUGUUGGGGAUCGGCGAGGCUGGUUUUCCAGCACAGCCGUCCCUUAAAUUAAUUGGCGGUCUCGCCGUGGCCCUCCUCUGCGCAGUAGUAAAACACUCGCAACAGGAGCCCGGCGCGGUCCACUGCCGUAAAACCCCCCAACUUUUUAUAGUUGACCUCGAAUCAGGUAGGACUACCCGCUGAACUUAAGCAUAUCAAUAAGCGGAGGA